rnacentral:lncRNA from 1 species
AUCCGCACAGGUUAUCACGCUCUAGCAGGAACCUACAACACCUGCCUAAGCCGUCAACACUAGCAGGAACCUACAACAUCUGCACAGGUUAUCACACUCCAGCAGGAACCUACAACACCUGCCUAUGCCGUCAACACUAGCAGGAACCUACAACAUCGCACAGGUUAUCACACUCCAGCAGGAACCUACAACACCUGCCUAUGCUGUCAACACUAGCA